GAUGAACGCUGGCGGUAUGCUUAACACAUGCAAGUCGAACGGUACCUUCGGGUAUAGUGGCGGACGGGUGAGUAACGCGUGAGAAUCUAUCUUCAGGUCGGGGACAACAGUUAGAAAUGACUGCUAAUACCGGAUGUGCCGAAAGGUAAAAGAUUUAUUGCCUGAAAAAGAGCUCGCGUCAGAUUAGCUAGUAGGUGGUGUAAGAGACUACCUAGGCUUCGAUCUGUAGCUGGUCUGAGAGGACGAUCAGCCACACUGGAACUGAGACACGGUCCAGACUCCUACGGGAGGCAGCAGUGGGGAAUUGUCCGCAAUGGGCGAAAGCCUGACGGAGCAAUACCGCGUGAGGGACGAAGGCUCUUGGGUCGUAAACCUCUUUUCUCAGGGAAGAUUCAGACGGUACUUGAGGAAUAAGCAUCGGCUAACUCUGUG
rnacentral:rRNA from 1 species